rnacentral:lncRNA from 10 species
AUGGAAUACAAUUAUUGAAAAGUAUUAAAAACUGUUUUAUCCUUUCAGACUUUCUUCUGUGGCUUCCUGGUGGUAGCAGAGCAGUGUUUAGUUCAGGACUAAUGUUGCCACACUACUCAAGCAAUACAUUUUGUCAUACUCUAUAUGAUACUGUCUGGAUUGUGAGGUUUUUACACUAUAGCUAGCGGGAACACAAACUUCUCAUCCUCAUGUGAGCCCCACCUAUUGCUCCUCUUCCUUUCAGGAGGUUCAUGGUUUCCUCACACAUAUCUGAUGACUAGUACUCUACUGAAGAAUUGCGGGGGCACCUCUGCAGAUCUCUGGUACUCUGUGUGCAGUACUCUACUCUGUGAACUCUAAGCUCUUGACCUCUGUGGACUCCCAGCUCAGUAUCCUCAUGGCCCCAGCUAGAUCUCCCUCCCCAGGCUGCAAUCUGAAAACUGAUACAGACAGUAAGCCGGGGCAGUCCUUAGAGCUUACCUCAUUUGUCUUCCUUUCUUAAGGAAUGACUGUCCUGUGCUGCCAGAGUACAAUAUGUAAAAACAUAUAUGUAGUACAGCUUUCUAGUUGUUUCAAGUAGAA